rnacentral:lncRNA from 1 species
UCUCCUCCAAGGACAAUAAGCCGACAUCCUUCAUGGCAGUCCAUGUCCCGCACUAACUCCAAUUUCAGUAUCCCCCACACCCGUAACCAGUGCAGAUCUUAUUCCAACUCACCUGCUAUCAGUACAAGUAGGAGCAAUGUAGACCUUGCGAAAAUGUCAUCGCCCUGGUCUAACUCUUCACACCUUGCAUCUGCGCACUCCCUGGGCGGAGGGCAUUUUUCUCCUCCGAUCAGCAUCAGAUACACAUCACCACAUGUCUCCCCUUUCGGCUACGGACUCUCUGGACAGUUUGUAGGUUCACCCCACAUGCCCCGUUCCGACAACGGGUCUCCAAGCUAUUAUCCUGGCUCUUCAGGGCAGCAGUACCCUUACUUGAGGCAUCGCACGGAGUCAGGGCCGAGCUUAUUUACGAUGGUGCCCCAGUCACCGCAACAGACCCAGCUGCAGGGUGGCGACGACUCAGCGACGAGUCUAUCAGCUUCAGCAUCGACUCAGUCGCUCCCUCAGGCCUACCUGCAGCAUUGCUCCGAUUCUGAUGCGAGCUUAUCUGCUGCGACGUCAGCUCAGUCGCUGCCAGGGUGUUGAUUGCCCGUACAGGUUCACCAUUGAAAUCCAGUUACACCUGUUACCAUAGAAUAAGCUCUCCAUGAAGCGUUCAGAGGCGGCCACUAUCGACUGAAGCGGAUUUGAAUGAGCAAGAGGGAGGUGCCUGUAAAAAGAUAAUAGAACCGGUGACCUUUAAUCUGACCAACUAGCUGGGAACCUUGAAGGCUGGAAAUGACUCCGCUGACCACACUGAGUGUGCAAGGAUUGUCUUGAGGCGUGUGUGCUACUGAUGAUGCCAAGAGUGUAUAUUAUUGCAGUUUGAUAGGGAUCUACUGUUAGUUGCAGUCAGAAAUGCCUUGUGCUAGUAAGAUGACGUAUAUAUUCUGUUCACGAAUGCUUGACAGAAAUAUAUUAAUCUUGAAUCUUGAUUGUUCUCACUUUGUUUUAAAGGUUUUAUCUAUCGGUGCCUAUGGCGGACCUGUAAUCAUGUUUAUACUGCUUGUAUGUUUUUUGUUUGUUGGUUUUUGGUCUGGCUGUUAGUGGUAUUUGUUUUGGGGCUGUUUUUUGUUAAGCAUUACAAAAUACUCCCUCCGUUUCCUAGAUAUAAGUUUUUUAGGACUACAUAAGAAACAAAACAAAUGAAUCUAUAUUUUAAAAUAUAUCUAUAUAUAUCGGUAUCUAAUACAUAGUUCGUAGCGAAAUCUUUUAAAAGGUUUAUAUUUAGAAACAAAGAAAGUUCAUGCGUGCACCAACCAUGGAUGGUGGCGCUACCGUGAUGACGCAUGGUAUUGGGCGCCUCUCUUGGGUCUCCUUGGCAUCAUGUGGUGUUCGCGUGAUGACGCAUGGUAUUGGGCGCCUCUCUUGGGUCUCCUUGGCAUCAUGUGGUGUUCGCUACCGUGAUGACGCAUGGUAUUGGGCGCCUCUUUUGGGUCUCCUUGGCAUCGUGUGGUGUUCGCAGUGAGACAACGUGGAUGGUGGCGCUACCGUGAUGACGCAUGGGAUUGGGCGAUGGUUUGGCUGGUCAGCUCCGGUUGGGCGGUGGGGUUCGGAGUGCGGGAGAAAUCCUUACAGGUUCGUCCGGCUCCGAUGCGGUGACACCGGCGGGUGCCACCAUUCCUUCCUGGAGGGUGUCGGUGGUAUCCAUCCCCUACCUCCUUCCGCGUGCGGGAGGAAACCGUGCGACUCGUCCGGGCAGCAGCGUCGUCGAUGUCGCAUCCCUUCUUGGAGGUGAUGUUUGGCACGCGGCGGAUCGGAGCUUCGGGCUGUGGUGGUUUGUCUCUGGAAGGCGCAGCGAUGGUGGAUCAUCCGCUCUUUGUCGAACUACCGUUGUUGGCAUUUGUUUUAUUUUUAUUUUUUUGGGCUUGAUGUGUUGUUCGCCCCAGCAAUGUUCUGUGUACGGUGUUGGUUGUUUUGGAAUAAAAAGCGGGAGGGGACCUUUUUCAAUAAGAUGGUAAGAAAUGAAAUUUCAGAAUAACUCGAACUUAGAUGGUGGGUUACCGUCUACUCCGUUUUUUUUAGAGAAAAGGCAUCAACCGAGACCGAGAUGAGGCUUGAGCCUAGCCCGACUUUGAAUUAACAAAGCCAUCAACCGGCCAGGAUUACAAGCACACGCCCUCAGGCAAAAAGAAGAAAACACAUGACGAAAGAUACAAAAACGACGGAUAACAUAAAACUAAAUCUCACACACCACGACAAUUGAAGAUAAGCAAUGAAGGGUAAAGCUGAAGAUGCCAAGGUCCUCGAUCGAGAAUGUAGCACCAGGACCAAGAUCGCGCAAGCACAAAGGAGAGAGGGACCGGCAUCAGCGGGGCAUGUCGUCGCCAUGCACCUACGGACCCCGACACAUCUCAUCCAACACCCAACUUUGAAGGCGGCCACAACCUCCUCGCCUGGAUCGAAGGCGCCGCACCGUCGACAGGUGGGUGGUCGCCGUCGGAGAUGACCACAUAGAGAGGGUCAGCGCAUCGCCACGAGUCAUCGGAGGCUCUCCUUGUGCAGAACAAGGCCGCUGCACACGUCCAGCACCGGAAGAGGGGGAGCAUCAUGCCAGGACAAAGAGGGCCACACCGCCGGUGCCACCAACCGACCACAAGCGCCCACCAACCAAAAGGCUCCAAAGGCGGCGCCUUCAAGAAGGGAACGACACUAGGAGCGCCAUCGCCGCCCAACAAAGUUAGGGCUUUCGCCCCGGAGACCUAGAGGAAGGGGAAGUGGAGGGGGACAUUCCAUAGCAACACCUCCAGGAAGGGGAACGGCGCCUGCAGGCGUCACCGUCGGCGCGGCCGGCCAAGCCGGCCAUGGAUUUCGCCAGGACGGCCCCAACCCCACAAACCACCCCCUGUCCAGGUACCGACGACCACAAGAGGCACCACCCAGCCAGAGGGGCCCGCACGCCAAUCAGGAGAGGGGAACGCCACGGAUCUUGUGUCGCCGGCCGCCGAAGCAGCAACCGGCCGCCCACCUCCACCAAGAUCCCGCCACCCAAGUGACCAGGGAUCCCGGAUCCGUCGUCCGCACCGUCGAAGGCCGCCGCUCCGAUCCAUGACUCCCCACGACAGGGCAGGGCAGCUGAGGGCCCCUUCACCGCCAUCCUUGACAACACCUCGGGCUAACCCGACAGCUGCCUCAGGCGGCGGCGAGGAGGAUGGGGGAAGGGGCGCCCGACGGCGGCCUAGGGUUGUCACCCCUCGAGUCGCCCAAGAGGGGCGACGCGAGGGUGGGAAGUUUUUCUUUUGAGCUGAGCCUUCAAGGUGGUGUGAUGAGUUGUCGCCCCCGUCUACUCCUUCAGCGGGUGAGCUAGACUCAUUUUAUCUUCUGUGUUUAGGAUAGUUUAUAGCGGGUGAGCUAGACUCAUUUUAUCUUCUGUGUUUAGGAUAGUUUAUNNNNNNNNNNNNNNNNNNNNNNNNNNNNNNNNNNNNNNNNNNNNNNNNNNNNNNNNNNNNNNNNNNNNNNNNNNNNNNNNNNNNNNNNNNNNNNNNNNNNNNNNNNNNGUUUAGGAUAGUUUAUUUUCUCAUAGUUGCUAAUAUAUAUUUUAUGAUAGAUUAUUAUACGUAACUCGUGCAAAUCAUAAUUAAUUUUUGCUCACCGGAGAGAUUAUGACGAUAGUUGGCAGUUGAAGCAGAACCCACGCUCUUAGAGCAUCUCUAGUGGAUCCUCUAUAUGGAGGUGUAUAGCAAAUAUAUAACAUCCCAACAAUAUUUUACCCCCUAGCGGCUCGUGUAAAACGACGUGUACACCAUCCACGCCCAUCCACUACGGUAGGAGGCGUGGAAGUAAACCCGAGCCAGCCACGCUCGUGGAGCUUGUGUAAAUCGCUAGAUCUGGCAUGCGGGCGGGCUCGGGCGGCGCUGUGCGGGGCGGGGUGCGGGGCGGCUGCGGGCGGGGUGCGGGGUGCGGGNCGGCGCUGCGGGCGGCAGAGUGCGGGGCGGCGCUGCGGGCGGCGGCGGCGCGCUGUGCGGGAUCCAUGCGUUGACCGAGCCGCUGGCUCCCUGCAUCGCCAGCGCUAGCACGCCGAGCUACCUACUGCUGCUGCUCCACCUGCUGCAGGGCUUCGGCUCCGGAUACUCGUCGGAGACGAGGUUGGGGCCGUCCCUGUGGUGGCCCAUCGGUCACUCUAGCGAUGGGAAUGGAACGAGGGAGGCACCCUCGAGUCCAUGGACAUCUUGGAUGCCACGGGGAAGGUUGCGGCGAAGAGGGGGACGGCUGUAAUGCGGCGAAGCUCCCAUGUUUCUUGUUCUCUGAACCUCUCUGCACUUCUGAAUCUCACCUAAACUUAUCUUGCAGAGGAGGAAACAAGGAGGGGAAUAUACACGUUUCACUGAAAAACUAAGACGUUUAUAAUUUAACAACGUGUAUAUGGACGUGUAUAUGAAGAUAUACAUGUUUAAAUUUACAUCAUCCACCAGAUAUGCUCUUAUGUGUAUAGUGGGGCAGUCCAUGCUGCCUUGGGGUGGCUCAGUUGCGAUGAUGGUCACAUGCGGGACGGGCUCAAGGUCAACCUGGUGUACUCGCUCUAGCGAUGGAGUCGGACCGCCAGGACAAGCGGCAACGCGGAGGGAAAGCACAAGGUGGUGUGACGGGCCGAAGGUGGAUGGGACGGUCCUAGUGGUGGCGCAGGUGCUCAUGCAUUUUGCCAUGGUUGUAUGAUUCGGUUGUGGUCGUAUUGUGCCUCUGUGUGGACUCGUCUUCGUGGUGUCAGAACACAAUUCUAGCAGACCCCGUAUUUGUCUGGUCUGUAAAACGUGUUUGCAGUUUACAUAAAAACGUCUAUGCAGGUCGGCACACACGGACGCGGAUGCAGACCCUGCAUAAUGGACCCGUAAAAGAGAUAUUCGUGGAAUAUGUUUUGGUGGGGGAAAGCACGGACUGAAAUGUCCUUCCACCAACCGCUUUCGCUCAUAUGCGGGACACCGCAACGGCGAGGUGGAAACUAGCGAAUACGCGGGUUGAGGCCGAGAUUUUGCCGUGCCCCGCAAAAAUAUUUGCGGGCCGGGGCGGGAUGCGGGUCUGAUCGGGCAGGUUUUUCCGUCCCGACCCGCAUUUUGAUGGUUAUUUUCUGGAUCGGGACGGGAUGCGGGGUCUGCUAGAGUUGCUCUCAUCAUGGCUCGACAGGGCCGGCUCUAUAUUUUGCGGGGCCCUAGGGCGAAGCUAAAAAUAAUCUCCUAUGAAAAAUAAAUAUGUACGCUUCUAUAGAUAUACUGGCGUAAGAUAUUAAAAUUUACAUCUAAGCACACAUUUUUAUUUAAGAAUGUCUAUAAAUAAUUAAUAAACGCUUAAGUUAUGUCAUAUCAUGAUAAAAUAAAUAAAUAAGUGGUAAUAUAUAACAAAUAAUAUUCUUUGCUAGUUUUAUUAUCUCAAAUAUGAACCAAGUUUUUAUGAACCAAGUUUUUAUGAGUUCAUCGACAAUAAUACUCCAGUUCCUCACAAAAAAUAUUCUUUGGGCAUUUCUGGAUGCAAAAUCGUUAUGACGCCUAAGAUUAGAAAUAAUCAUCAGAUCAACUAAUCUAAGAAGACUAGGGCACUAGAAAAAUAUGUAUGCAGUGCUCUAAUUACCUUGAGCAAUCCACCUACGAUUCACGGUCUGGGCGAUCUUCACUGCACGCGCACCGCGCACGGGGUCAGGGACGGAGGUGCAAUCGUGCAGCAACGCAGGCAGACGAUCGAGGCAAGGCGUCGAACAGAUGAACGAACAGGCAGACAUCCUACACGAUCGACCGAUCAAUGGAUUGCGCAAUGCGUAGAUAUGCCUUUUCCUAUCCCGACCAGGUGCCUUUCCCGCCGGACCCUUUAGCACAUAUAUUUUUUCAGCCCAUAUAUCAUUAGGAGGUAUACAUACACAUAUGCGGUGAUAGCCCCCCCCCACACCCAAAACAUGAGCCCUUGGACCUCGCACAUGUUAGCCCAGGGCCAGAGUCGGCCCUGUGGCUCGAUCAAACCUCGCCUUCAUGGUGUCAUCAUGGCUCGAUCAAACUCUCAUGCCUUGUUUGGGUCAGCGUUUUAGUUCGAAAUACCUCUGUAAAAUAUAUACAUAUCUCUCUCGGUCGUUUUGUUUCCGGAUGAAAAUUAGUCAUCAGCCGAUAAGUUGCACUUGUAAACAAUACACAUCCGUAUUACUUUACACCCGAACCAAGCGCGACCUCAUAUUUGCGGUCAUGGUCUGCACUAUUAGUAUGAUGCAGGCAAUGGCUCACUCUCAAUUAGUAGUGGCUAGCCCACACGAGCUCGGUAGGUGGAUGGCUUAGGAUUUGGGCGAUGGUCUUGUUUUUUAUGAGAAUUGGUACCAACGAUAAUGGCGGCGGUAGCCUCUUCCUCGGAGCACUUGAAGGUUCCUCCUCUUCAUUGGACCCUGAUUGGUCAUUUCUUAGGUUCCUCAAUGUGGCUAUUGAUGUGGUCGGCUUUUUCCAAGGUUUAUUGUGGUAGUUGUGGGCGACUAUUAGUGAAUGCUUAAUGUCUCCGACAAGGUUUCAUUUCGAUGAUGAUAACGUCGACAUUGGGUUGUGGGAUGUUGGCUAAGAUGUCAAUUUUAUCCAUGGGUUUGAAUAUACAGGGUUAACCGAUCGCAUGAGAAGGAUAUGUAUACGAUUUUUCAUCGAUGGGGCAGAACCAUGAUAACCGGAUUAGUCAUGGGGUCGGAGCAUUGGAUAAUACUUCUUGCCCAUGGCUCGCCCAAUUAAUGUUUUGGCUCACGCAACUAAUGCUUAAGUAAGUAAAUAUAUAUAUAUUUAUUACAUAUAAUGUGGACAAUAAAAGCUGUAUAACACACAUAAUUGUAUAUGCUACCCUCCUAAUUAUAAUACGGGACACAAAUAAUUCGUUAAACUUAUCUUCUAUUUCACGGCUUAAUCAUGGUUUAGGAAAUUCAGGAACAUAAUUCAAAUUCUUGAACACUUCUUAAAUUCCUAAACUUUUCUUCAUAAUUGCGAACUUUUUGAAAAAAUCAGUGAAGAUUUUUUUCAUAUUCAUCAGUAUUUUCAAAUAAAAAAUAUUCAUUUAAAUCCAUGAACAUUUCUUAAAAUUCGUGAUCAUUUUUAAAAAUGUAUAUAGUUAUGAGACAUCUAGACUUUUUUAGAAUUCAUGAAUAUAAUAUAUAUUAUAUAUAUUAAGUAUUUUAAAUGUAUGAACAUUGUUAGAUAUGUGAAUAUUUUUUAGAAAUUGUGAACAAUUCUGAAAUUAACAAAAAAUGAAAUUAUUGUACCUUCUUCAAAAGUUCUGGAAAGUGUUCCAAUACAAUGGCAGUUCCGUCACCCGCAAAAAGUNNNNNNNNNNNNNNNNNNNNNNNNNNNNNNNNNNNNNNNNNNNNNNNNNNNNNNNNNNNNNNNNNNNNNNNNNNNNNNNNNNNNNNNNNNNNNNNNNNNNGUCUUCUUGUGAAACCUGGGCUCCUUGGUGAUGACCCACAAGUGUAGGGGAUCAAUCGUAGCCUUUUCGAUAAGUAAGAGUGUCGAACCCAACGAGGAGCGGAAGGUAUUGACAAGUGAUCUUGAGCAAGGAAUAACUGCAAGUACUGAAGGGUAACUUUUUAUGGGUUUUCUAGUAUAAUCAACAAGGAAAUAAAUGCAAGUAAAGUAAAUGGUGUCGAGGUGCAGCAAGUGGCCCAAUCCUUUUAGACAAAAAGGAUAAGCCGAGGGACUAAAAUUAUAAGAGAUAGUCAAGUGCUUUCACCAUAUUCCUUCUAGUACUAUGUUUUGUAUUAGUAAGUGUUAUGUGCGUGGAUGUUAACUAGUGCAUAGUCUAGGCAAAGACAAGUACACUCUUAUGAUUAAUCCCUCUUGCAAGCAUUCGCAAAUACAAGAGAGAAAUUAAGGCAAAGCCAAACCAUAGCAAUAAGCAUUAGGAUCCAAUACUCCCUCAUGCAAAAGCAUGCGAACUGGGGUUCGGGUUUUUGUCACUCCGGCAACCAACCAUAAACAUUCUUUAUACACGAUGCAUUCCCCUAGGUCCUUAAAAAGGUGAAGUGUUAUGUUGUCGAUGUUCACAUAACACCACUAGAAGAAUAACACCAUAACUUAAAUAUCAAUAAACACAUAUUACUUCAACAUCAUAUGACUACUAACAUCUAGACUUUUCCCAUGUCCUCAAGAACUAAAGGAACUACUCACAAGACAUAAAAGAGAUCAUGAUCAGAGGUGAUGAUAAUAUGAUUAACAAUCCGGUCAUAACAAUAAUCCUCCAACAAAACUCAGUAGCAUUCACCACAAAAGAGUAAUCAACACCGGUAGAGUAGAGGGGAUGAAUAGUGCAAGGUAAGUACAUGGGAUGAAGGUGGAGAUGGUGCUGGUGUUGGUGAUGAUGGUGAUGAUGAUCUCGAUGAUGCCUGCGAUGAUGGAGAUGACGAUGAGGACGAUCUCCCCUUCCGGGAGGAGUUCUCCCCGGUGGAAUCUGCCCGCUGGAAAGGUGUUUUCUUCUGUGUAGGUUUCCGCCGUGGAGCGGCGGCGGAAUCGCGAAAACUCUUCUGUCCCCAUAAUUUUUGGGUCAAGAGGGACAUAUAGGCCAAAGGAGAGCACUGGAGGCGGGACCCACCACCCAUGCGGCGUCCUGGCACGACCUAGGGGUGCCCGCGCGAGCAGGUCGCCUGGGUGACUGGUGGGCCCCCUCCGGCUCUUCUUUGGCAUGUCUUCGGGAUCCGUUUGGAAACUUCUUCCCUCUGAUUUUCAGCGCAGUUGGAGAUGUUCUUAUAUUGUAACUCUUCGUGUUAUUUUCUCCGCUGAAUCCUGCGUGUCCUGUUUCGGCAUCGGAAAGUUGUAAGCUGUGUAAAAUAAGCCAAAACACUAUAAGUACAUCAUAAUAAAGUGGAAUAUAUCAAUGAAUAGAGACAAAUUAUGAUACAAAAUAGUGAUGCAUUUUGGACGUAUCAACUCCCCCAAGCUUAGACCUUGCUUGUUCCCAAGCGAAUACUAAGCUCAGUAAACCUGUCCACAAGUUUAGAGAGUGAAGUGUCGAUAAAUAAGAAUACGGACAAGAAGCAUCAUAAUUUCUCUACUAAACUCAACCAUCCUCAACAGCAAUAUCAACUCAUAAGGCCCUUAUGAAAGAGUAAUAUCAAUUACAAUCAAGAGUAGAGCUACGAAAACCAUGGCAAACAUGUCCUUGGUCAAACAACAACUAAUAACUUUUAACUUUUGCUCUUCCUCUUAUAUUUUGAUGAGAUCAAUUUAAGCUUUUUGAAAGAACAUGUUAUUAGUCAAGAAGUGAAAAUGCUAACACAAAGGAAGAUGUUUGUUUUAGGUAAGCUUUAACAAACAACCUACUUAUCUUAAUGAUAAUCAUCAACAAAGGUGUAAUAUGAAAACUCUCAAUCAAACAAUAUAAACGCAUGCAUCUUUGUCAACAUAAAGUGUUUGCUCUUUUCAAGAUAGAAACAAGUAGGUUUACUAACUCAACAUAAAAGUAAAAGAUUGGCCCUUCGCAGAGGGAAGUAGGGAAAACUCAUGUGCUAGAGCUUUUUAGAGAUCAACAAGAUUGUAAAACAAGCUUUUGAGAGGUGCAUGAUUUGUCAACGAAUGCUAGUCGAUAGCCCAAUACUUCUCAUGCUGGAAAAGUUUUGAGGAACGGCUCCCAAAGUGGGGACGAUCACAUCCCCUUAGUCUCCUUUGUUUAUCACUACCAAAGUUUUCUGAUUUCUCAUCAACAAAGUGUGAAGGAGGUUUUGUUUGUUGUUAUUAUCUUUUACGAGCUAGGCGCGCUCAUGCCAGUCCCUUCUUGUGUUUGGGAUUCGCAGAUUAGACAUGCAAACCCAAGAUAAAACUUGUCCAAUAUGAGAAGAUUAUGAAUUACCUACUACUUCCUCAUGAGCUAAAGCAAAGGCACAAAACAGGGAGUAAUAUUUGAAGGUUUAAAGAUAGCACAUGAGUAAUAUACUUUAGGAGUGGCAGUGACAUACCACGUAAAGGGAAGAUAUGCUAGACUCUUGGGAAGGUUGAGGUUUCAGGGUAUGGAUGCACAAGCAGUAUCCCCACUUAGUGCAAGGGUUGGCUAGCAAAGGCUUUUGAGAGCAGACAAAUAAUGUUGAGUUGGAUGCAAAACAAUAUAAAGUUUAACAUAAAGAAUUGGCGUAACACAUCAAGUUGUCUUCCUUAUCAGCAUAACACUUCAAGCAUAAGAACAUCAAGGUUUUGGCUAUGUCGCUACUAGAAAAACUCAUGCUUGUUGUUAUGACCAAUGCUAUGUUUGCCAAGAUUAAAUAAAGUUUUCAAAGCCAUACCUGAUGCAUAAGAUCAAUACUCCCAUAAGAAUCAGCAUAUGAGAUCGAUUGCAUGAAGAGGAUACCAAGUGCAGCAAAGAAACCAAUAGGCUUCUCAUUAAUAUUCCAUCUUUGACACUGCACGCUCAUUGAUACAAACUCUCCACAAAGGAGUGAUAGACCUCAAUGCAAACACCUAUUUCAUAAGAUAACUUCCCUAGACAUGAUACGACACGAAACUUGACAAUUAAAAGUAAAGUAUGAAAAAAUAAAGAUACCGGGUACUCCCCCAAUCUUGGAAUAAGCUAAGGGAAUGCCAUUACCCAUGAAGAUUUCACUCUUCGUCCUACUUGUUGUUAUUCAAGUCCGCUAUUAUGCGUCGGAGGGUUUUGUUUUCAGCUUCCAAUAUGGCCACCUGUACUUUAAGCACACGGAAAUCUUCACAGAAUUGGUUAGUGAUUCUGUUAGCUUCGGAUAUAGUAGAUGACAUAGGUGGAGCUCCUGGUGGAGCGGCAGUUUCUGAAAGGUUCAGAGAAAGAUCAUGUUGCGGGUUAAUAAACCCCACGAGGAUGGGGUUGUUGGAGCUGGAUCCUCGUGAUGAAGGAUCUCCUUCUCGCUGGGUGGUGACCAUCUUGACUUCCUCUCUCACGAAGCACUCCAUCUCCGCUUGUCUUGCGGCUAUCUCUUCAUUGGUAGCCCAUCCGGUGACCUUCCCUUGGUUGAUAUCCUGCUGGACACGGCGGAGACAACGACCUGUGUAGUCUUCCCCGCUUGAGUCGCAAGAAGACAUCUCGAACAACAACUUCUUAGCCUGGCAGAAAAAGAUCGAAAGAGAAAACGCACGGACUCGCAAGAUACAAAGCCGAGGCGAUUCGGGAAAAUAUAUAGGAAACAUUUCUGCACCAAAAGGAAGGUAACAAGCCAAAGUGGAGUCGGACAUGGACUCCGGGUGGUCCAGGCGGCCUCCUGGUGCGGCCAGGGGCUAGCCCGCACGAGGAGGUCGCCUGGGUGACCUGGAUCUCCUCUCCGGCUCUGCUUCGGCUCGGAAUUUUCCUAGUUUUGCAAAAACACAUAAUACAGAACUUUUAUUGAUGUUCGCGAAGUUUCCUUACCGUAUUUCAUACCUUUUAUUACUCUGCUUCUGCCGGUGUGAUACAGUGUUGAAAUAUGUUCUUCGUGAGUGGCUACCUGUAUCACAUCCACCUCUACAUUGAUGGGGUCUCCAGCUAUGUAAUGCUUUAGUCUUUGCCCAUUCACAAUAUGUGGUUUUGUGCCUUCAAAAUUAUUAAUCUUGAUUGCACCAGAGCGGUAGACUUCUUCGAUAUGGUACGGUCAUUCCCACUUGGAAUGUAAUUUACCUGGAGAAAACCUGAAAUGAGAUCUAUAAAACAAAACUUUGUCACCAACAAUAAAUUCACGUUUCAAAAUUCUCUUUUCAUGCCACUUCUUUACCUUUUAUUUGAACAUUUUUGCGCUCUCGUAAGCUUCACUUCUCCACUCAUCUAGAGAAGUCAAGUUCACGAGACGCUUUUCACCAGCAAGCUUUGGAUCAACAUUAAGCUCUCUAACAGCCCAGAAAGCUUUGUGAUCUAACUCUAGAUGUAGAUGGCAUGCCUUGCCAUAAACCAUCUUAUAUGGAGACAUCCCCAUGGGAUUUUUGUAAGCAGUUCUAUACACCCACAAGGCAUCUCCUAGUUUAUUGGACCAGUCCUUUCUAGAACUGUUCACUGUCUUUUGCAAGAUCAACUUGAUCUCUCUAUUUGUGAGCUCAACUUGCCCACUUGUUUGAGGGUGGUAAGGUGAAGCAAUUCUAUGAUUAACAUCAUAUUUGUCUAGAGCUUUUCUAAAAGCACCGUGUGUAAAAUGUGAUCCUCCGUCGGUCAUGAGGUACCUAGGUACACCAAACCUGGGGAAGAUUACAUCCAUGAGCAUUUUCAAACAUGUCUUGUGAUCAGCACUUUCAGUGGGGAUUGCUUCAACCCACCUGGUCACAUAAUCUACACCUACUAAGAUGUGAGUGUAUUUGUGUGAUGGAGGGANNNNNNNNNNNNNNNNNNNNNNNNNNNNNNNNNNNNNNNNNNNNNNNNNNNNNNNNNNNNNNNNNNNNNNNNNNNNNNNNNNNNNNNNNNNNNNNNNNNNNNNNNNUUGUGUGAUGGAGGGAAAGGACCCAUGUGUUGGGGCAUAGUUUAUGCCUAAGUAAUUUUGGUGAUUGAUGACAGUAUCGUAUAGGACUAACCGUGUGUGUCAAGGUUUCAGAUAAGACACGUCAACGCCACAAGACGACACGUCUCCUCUCUCAUGGAACGGAAGCNNACGCUCUCUACGAUUCUCUUUAUUUGAGUCAUAGGAAAGCCGUACUAUUAAGAGGGGAUCCGUAGUGGAAAGGUUUGGGUGGAAUCCAUCUUUACACACGCACACUUCACAUUCUCCCUUUCCUUAUCUUUGGAGCGGCCCUCGCCUAUUUGUCUUUAGCUCUAUGCAAAAUGGUCCCCAGCGGUAGUACCGNNNNNNNNNNNNNNNNNNNNNNNNNNNNNNNNNNNNNNNNNNNNNNNNNNNNNNNNNNNNNNNNNNNNNNNNNNNNNNNNNNNNNNNNNNNNNNNNNNNNNNNNNNNNNNNNNNNNNNNNNNNNNNNNNNNNCUAGCGGUAGUACCGCUGCAGCCAGCAGUAGUACCGCUAGCUGGCGGUAGUACCACCCCUGGUCAGCGGUAGUACCGCUCCAGGUGCUUUGUUCCACCUACCUAGCGGUAGUUCGUGGACGGACCCUUUUGCGAAGACUUUCUCGGCGGUAGUAGUGUUUUUGCACUACCAAGGGGCCAGCGGUAGUACCGCUGGAGGCCCAGCGAUAGUAUCGCUGGUGUCAGCGGUAGUACCGCUGGAGGCCCAGCGGUAGUACCGCUGCAUCCAGCGGUAGUACCGCCAGGCAGCGGUAGUACCGCUCCUGCUCAGCGGUAGUACCGCUGGAGCUCAGGCAGAGAGUGGGAAAACGGUCUGAAUUUUCCCCCCACUAUAUAAAGGGUUCUUCUAGCUGAGGAACCCUAUCUCUUACCUCUCUAAGCUCCAUUGUUGCUCCACAAGCUCAAAAGUGCCCGAUCUCUCUCCCUAGCCAAUCAAACUUGUUGAUUCAUUAGGGAUUGGUUGAGAAGGCCUAGAUCCACACUUCCACCAAGAGAAAAGUUGAUUCCCCCACCAAUCCCUUGCGGAUCUUGUUACUCUUGGGUGUUUGAGCAUCCUAGACGGUUGAGGUCACCUCGAAGCCAUAUUCCAUUGUGGUGAAGCUUCGUGGUUUAGUUGGGAGCCUCCAAGCUUUGUGUGGAGUUGCCCCAACCUUGUUUGUAAAGGUUCGGUCGCCGCCUUCAAGGGCACCUAUAGUGGAAUCACGGUACCUUGCAUCGUGCGAGGGCGUGAGGAGAAUACGGUGGCCUUAGUGGCUUUUUGGGGAGCAUUGUGCCUCCACACCGCUCCAACGGAGAUGUACUUCGUGUCAAAGGGAAGGAACUUCGGUAACACAUCCUCGUCUCCAUCGGUUCCACUUGUGGUUAUCUCUAUCCUUUACUUUGUAUUUGCUUAUGCUUGUGACUAUAUCUUAGUAGUCUUAAUAGCUCUCGUUGUUAGCGUCUACAGGGUUCACCUCAUUGUCAUAUUAUUUGUGAACCCGUAUAGUGUUUACCUUAACUUGCUAAGAUUAAUUAAAAAGUGGUCGUUGUCUAUUCACCCCCCCUCUAGCCAACCAUAUCGAUCCUUUCACCAUGCAAUCAAAACCCCAGCAAUCAAAAGGCUCAAUGACUAGCGAAUAAUACAUAGGCAUCUCAUUCCUCCUACUAAUAUUACCAACUCUCAGGCACUUAUCACAAGAUAAAACGUAAUUUCUAGCAUCUUUAAAGAGAGUAGGCCAAUAAAAACCUGAUUGGAGAACCUUGUGUGCGGUCCUCUCACCGGCAUGAUGUCCUCCAUAAGAACUGCUAUGACAUUGUCUCAAGAUAUCCUUGUGCUCAUGCUCCAGUAUGCAUCUCCUCACAAUUCCAUCUGCACCUUCUCUAAAAAGAUGUAGGUCAUCCCAAAAGUAAUACAUCCAGUCAUGGACGAACUUCUUUCGCUGCUGGGAUGUUAAACCUGGAGGCAAAAACUUUACAACAAUAAAGUUAGCAUAAUCUGCAUACCAUGGAUCUGAAUUAGAUUUCACCUGUAAAACAGCUAACUGUUUGCCACGAAAACUAUCGUUGACUGGAAUGGGAUCGUGUGGUAUGUCCUCCAUCCUGGAAAGGUUGUAUUUUACACGGUUGUCUGCUCCUUUCCUAUCAACAAUCUGCAAAUCAAAUUCUUGAAGAAGAAGGACCCAUCAGAUAAGCCUUGGUUUGGCAUCCUUCUUUUCCAUAAGAUACGUAAUAGCAGCAUGAUCAGUAUGAAUGAUGACUUUAGAAUCAACAAUGUAAGGCCUAAACUUAUCACAAGCAAACACUAUCACUAAAAAUUCUUUCUCAGUAGUAGCGUAAUUCUUUUGAGCAUCAAGGGUUUUGCUAGCAUAAUGGAUAACAUCCAAUUUCUUAUCAACCCAUUGUCCUAACACAGCUGCAACAGCAAAAUCACUAGCAUCACACAUGAUUUCAGAAGGAAAAUUCCAAUCAGGUGGUUGGACUAUAGGGGUGGUUAUCAAGGCUUUCUUAAGAACUUCGAAGGCUUCCAUACAAUCUUCAUCAAACACAAUAGGAAUAUCCUUCUGGAGAAGAUUAGUAACGGGUUUCGAAGUUUUAGAAAAGUAUUUAAUAAAUCUCCUAUGGAAACCAGCAUGACUGUGACAUCCUCGACUUUUGCAACAGUAAUUAUUGUAAUUAAGCUACAGUGAUCAACCGCUAAUGAUGCCACGUCAUCGAAUUCCCAUCUCAGACCCGCGUUGAUUCGAGUCUGUCCGGAUCCAAAAUUUGAAAGCAAAAGAAAAGUACCUUAUGAGUUCAUUAUAAUAUUAAAAUAAUAUAUAUGAAAAGGAAAGUAUUAAAAAUAAUAAUGAGAAAAAAAAGGAAAGAAAGAAAUAAUAAAAAAAGGAAAAAGAAAACAAAAUAAAACAAAACAAAGCAACAAAAAAAAGAGAAGAACCCCCCCCACCCCCUGGCCUGGCUGGGCCAAGAGGCCCAACCGGCCAGAACCCUNCCUCCCUCCCGCCGGCGGCCCCCAGAUCUCCCGCCGGCCGAGGCCCUUGUUUCACCCCGCGGCACCACCCCCCUAGAGACCGACCCCAUGAGCCCCACCGGCCGAGGCGCUCCCCGUCGGCGGCUCCAUCCCGGGGGCCCCUCCUCACCGGGGCCCCUCUCGGCGAACCUCCGGCCGGCUCCUCCUCGCCGGCACGACCAUCACCGUCCUCACCGGAACAACGCCGUCACCGUCACCGCCUCCGGGAACGCCUCCACGCCGUCUCCUCCGCCCCUUCCCGCGAACUCCGGCUUCACCGGCCCCUCCCGUCAACGUCGGUGAGCCCCUCCUCGGGCUCCUCCCACCAUGUCGUUCUCCUCGCCGCCCCGGUUCCGUUCCUGCAAACGGGACCCCGAUCCGUCGACCUUAGACACCGGUAGGAGGGUUUGAAGUUUAUGUUCUUCUAUGUUGAGUUGGAGCAGAGAGUUGUUCUCUGUGUGUUAACAGAGAGAGAGAUGAGUGUUGAGAGUUAAAAGAAAAUAAAAAAAAAAUAUUGUAUUCCGUAUGUAUGUAUGUAUGUAUUUGAUACCCGUAUUUAUGUAUGUAUUGCGUAUAUAGAUAUUGGAGGAAUACGAUAUUUGCAUGUUUAUAUCUAUGGAAAAAAUCGAGUAUAUGGCCUAUGUCACUUACCGGUGGGGCCAUACCUCCACACCCACUUACAGGGAGGCCCCACACUCGUUUUGAAGAAAAUGGAAAUUAAAAUAUAAAUAAUAGAAAUAUAUGUUUUUAUUAAAUAAAUAAAUAAAUAGAUAUAAUAAUUAAUUAAUGAGUUAAUGAAUUAGUUAAAUAAAUAUAUAAGUUAAUCUGUUAAUUAGAAUAGUUAAUUAACCUAAUGAGAGAAUGACACGUGGGCCCCCACUAAAUUAAUCUGUUUAAUUAAUAAUUAAUCUUAAUAAAAACUUGUGCCUAUGACGUUCGGGACCCGCUGGUCAGUUGACCGGUCAAAUGUUGAUGUCAGCCUGACAUCGCGAUGAUGUCAUAAUGGGAUUUUAUUAAAUCAUUUAAAUAUGUUUUUAAUUCCUAAAUAAUUAAUAAAACUUUGAAAAUUAAUAUAAAAUAAUCCGAAGUCAGAUCAAAAUAAUUUCAACAUGAAAGUUGAUCAGCAGAUCGAGACGAACCCGGAUACACGGCCCGUUCGUCUGUCACGCGUCCCUAGCAUAGCAAACUUGGAACUUUUCCUUCGUUUCCAGUAUAACCGGUAGUAGCCCGAGACCCGAAAAAUAUCAUCAGAUAUUCUUCCGACCCGUCUAUGACGGAUGUUGCUGCGUUAGCUCAUGUCUAGCCUGCAUCUUGCCUUGUCAUGCUUUGUGUUGCAUCGGUGCUAUUAUUUAUUGUUUCUUCCCCCUCUUCUUACCGGUAGACCCCGAGACUGACGCUGCUGCCGGGUACAUCUACGACCCUGCCGAUCAGUCCUUUGCCGCAGAGCAGCAAGGCAAGCAAACCCCCCUUGAUCAUUCCUAUAUCGCCUAUGUCUUUCUUCCUACUGCUUGCAUUAGUAUUUUGCUACUGUUGUAGUUAGCUCCUAUAUUUGAUGCAUAGCCUAUUUUUGAUGAACUGCUACUUUCAGUCCUGUACCUUUAAUCUGCUUAGUAUAGGUGGAGCAGUCAUCCCCUCUGACCCCGUAGUUCAGUUGCCCCGCUUGUUUUCAAAUCUCGAUCUCUAAUCGACGAGCCAGACCCGACACAGCACAUUCACCCCCUUCGUUGUACGACGCUACAGAGAUACUAUCGGGUACCGAGGGUGACACCCCGCUAAGUACUCCUGAUGAUAUCUCUGUAGUAUAGCUAGUCGGUCGUGGUUAUCGAGGGUGAUUCCUCUUUCACCAUUCUCGAUGACGCCUCUGUCGUGCAACCCCGCGAGUGUGGGACCCCCGAGGGUGAUUCCUCUAAGCCCACCUUGACGGGUACAUCGUUCGGAAUCCAACGAGGGUGAUACCUCGGGUUCCCCCCGAUGUUACCACCACACAGUUACUCGACCAUGUUACUGAGCUCAUUGGUGAUUAGUUGUAAGACGGAUGGAUUCCCGUGAAACUGUGUUGUUGGCCUAAUUAAAAUGCAAAUGGAUUUGGGUAUUUGAUCUGGGUUGGUCGGAGACCUUUUCGCACUAACCGGCUACGCGGGAAGAAUUAUGGGUACUCGGCGUCGCGGUAUCAGCCGAAGCUUUUCAGAUGCCAUCAAUGUAGCGGCGCGCGCCCGAGUGGUCCCGAGAUGCAUCGCGCUUGUGAUUAAGGGAUGCUAGGACUGACGUCGGCCGCCCACGCCAUGUGCAGGAGCGUGAAGGGGAACUGGGCCCACGAACCCUUUGUGCUUAGGAUUUAGACCGGCGGGCUGGCCUCUCUGAUUAGUCUUAGGUGGGGCUGCGACGUGUCGAUAUUCCGAGGCCGGGCAGGACCCAGAAAAGUUUGUCCGGCCAGAGUGUUAUCGAGCGUGACGGGACAUGUGGUGCACCCCUGCAGGGAUGAAAAUUAACUAUUCGGAUAGUCGUGUCCACGGUUACAGGACGACUUGGAGUUGUGCCCCGAUCUCUUACAAUUACAAUUUUUACUUAACUGGAUUUGGUUUGCCUCGGGAUUGCUUCCUCGGAGGGAGUCGAGGGAGGAUCCUUAGGCGUGACCUCACUUUAAUAUUGCUGCAACAAUAUGACUAUUAAUGUUUUACCCCCUGUUCUACUCUCGUCUAUUGCUGCAAGACCCUGAAGAUGCUAGUCUUCGAUAGGACUAGGCCUUCUCCCUCUAUUCUCGCUUUGCUGCAGUCAGUCCACAUAUAACCCCCCCUUCUUUGAUACUGAUGCAUAAUUAGAAUAGUUCUGAUGUAAGACUUGCGAGUACUUUGGAUGAGUACUCACCGCUGCUUUGCUCCCCCCUUGUUCCCUUGAUCCGUUUGCUGCGACCAGAUGAUGGAGCCCAGAAGAUGGAGGUCCCCGCCGCCGACGACUGCUACCCCAACAGUGCCUACUACUAUGUGGAGGCCGCUGAUGAUCAGGAGUAGUUAGGAGGUUCCCAGGCAGGAGGCCUCGCCUCGUUCGAUCGUUGUAUCUUUUGUGCUAGCCUUCUCUAAGGCACCCCAUGUUUUAUGUCUGUACUCAGAUAUUUGUUGCUUCUGCUGACUCAUGUGUUUAUCGAGCUUUCGUAUUGUAGCCCUCGAGGCCCCUGGCUUGUAAUAUGAAGCUGAUGUUAUUUUAUUUGUGUCUAGAGUUGUGUUGUGAUAUCUUCCCGUGAGUCCUUGGGUUUGGUCGUACGCAUUUGCGUGUAUGUUUAGCGUACGAUUAAGCCGGGGGCGUCACAAUGACCGAGGAAACUACAAAAACCUCUGAUGUCUCUUGGAUAAGGCAUUCUCUCGAUUGCUUCAACCUUUGCCAUGUCCACCUCGAUUCCUUUUUCAGAAAUCUUGUGGCCAAGAACAAUUCCCUCAUUGACCAUGAAGUGGCACUUCUCCAAGUUGAGUACCAUGUUCGUCUCCUCACAUCUCUGCAAAACUUAUUAAGGUUCUGGAUACAAUGGUCAAAAGAGGUUCCAUAGACGAAGAAAUCGUCCUUGAAGACCUCCACAAUUUCCUCACAAAAACCAUGAAAUAUAGCGGACAUACACCUUUGAAAAGUAGCAGGAGCAUUGCAUAAACCAAAAGGCAUACGUCUAUAAGCAUAAGUACCAAAGGGACAAGUAAAAGUGGUGUUCUCUUGAUCGGCAGUGUUAACAUGAAUUUGAGAGAAGCCAGAGUACCCAUCAAUAUAGCAAAAGUGAGUGUUUUUUGAUAGCUUUCAAGCAUUUGGUCAAUGAACGGCAGCGGGUAGUGGUCCUUCCUGGUUGCCUUGUUCAGCUUCCUAUAAUCAAUACACAUUAUAUAUCCAAUAAUAAUUCUUUGAGGUAUUAGUUCAUUAUUAUCAUUAGGAACCACAGUAGUACCUCCUUUCUUGGGAAUACAAUGUAUUGGACUUACCCACUUACUAUCAGCUAUAGGGUAGAUAAUACCUGCAACUAGAAGCUAGAGGAUUUUGGUCCUCACAACAUCCUUCAUCUUCGAGUUUAACCAUCGUUGAUGAUCAACCACCGGUUUAGCAUUAGGCUCCAGAUUGAUAGUAUGCUGACAAAUAGAUGGACUAAUCCCCUUAAGAUCAUCAAGGGUAUACCCAAUAGAGCCUCGGUGUUUAUGCAGGACUUCCAACAAUCGCUCUUCUUUAUAUCCUGACAGGUUAGAAUUGAUAAUAAUAGGAUAUAAUUUCUUUUCAUCUAAAUAAGCAUACUUGAGCGUACUCGGAAGAGGUUUGAGGUCAAACACCGGGUCUUCUUUUGGUUUUGAUAAAAUUCCGCCAGGUUCAAGCGGAAGGUUGUGUUUCAGGAUAGCAGGUUGUCUCAAGAAUAUGUCAUAUAGCUCAUUCCUUUCCUGCAUAUGCAUAUCAUUCUCGUGGUUUUCCAUAAAUUGUUGCAAAGCAUCAUUAGGAGGAAUUGCAAUAGAAGCAAUCUCUUCAAUAAUAUUAUCAUUACUAGGUAGAUCAGUACCACGAGUUUGCUUUGAGAAUUUAGAAAAGUUAAAUUCUUAUGGCUCACCAUUAAAUUCAACAGAUACUUUUCCUUUCCUGCAAUCUAUAAUAGCUCCACAAGUUUUGAGAAAAAGCCUACAAAAGAUAAUAGGGCAAAAACUACCAUUUACUGAACCAAGUACUAGAAAGUCAGUGGGAUAUUUUACCUUUCCACAUAGAACUUCAACAUCUCGCACAAUUACAAUAGGAUAGAUAGUGUCUUUAUUUGCGAGAUGAAUAGUAACAUCAACUUCUUCAAUUUCACAUGGUAGAAUCUCAUUCAUAAUCUCUUGAUAAAGUGAAAAAGGAAUAGCACUAGCACUGGAUCCCAAAUCACAUAACCCAUAAUAAUUAUGAUCUCCUAUUUUAACAGAUACAACCAGAGUACCUAAAAUUGGGCCUUUAUUCUUGGCUGUAACAAGGUUAGUGGAAACAGCACACAAAUUUAUAUUAGAAUCCUCAUUAUUAUUAGUAAAAAGAUCCUUGACUAAUGAAACUUGAGGAUUGACUUUAAUCAUGUCCUCAUUCUCACGAGUCGUUCUUUCACUUUUAUUCAGGAUGCCUGUGACAAAAGAAUGCUCCUUCAUCCUCGCGGAAAAAGGGGGCUUUUCAUAUUCAACUACAGGCAAGAUAGGGUCAACAACAUUAAUAUCAACAGGUAAAUCCUCAAAAGGUUUAUGGUGUUGAUCCUGCUUCUUCUGAGAAGAGUCAAUAUGAGAGGCAAAGUCUUUACAAAAAUCAAUUAGAAGCUGGCAAUCAAGACCAAUCUUAGCGCAAAUGGUAUUGAAGUAAUCAGUUUUCACAUAGCUCUCAAUGUAAUCACGCUCAUAAUUUAUAACGGGUUCAAUACCUUUAUCAAUCUCCCAGCCUUCAGUGUUCUUCUGGAUCCUUUCAAUAAGAUCCCACUUAGCUUCAGUGCUUUUGUUGGAGAAUGCCCCACUAGAGGAAGCAUCAAGCAUCUCUUUAUCUUGACGAGAAAGCCUUGCAUAAAAAUUUGUGAGAAUAAUUUAUUUGGAGAGCUCAUGAUUGGGACAUUUGAGCAUUAAGGACUUCAAUCUCCCCCAAGCUUGGGAGAUGCUUUCUCCAUCAUGAGACCAAAAUUUAUAAAUAUAAUUCAUGUCUCGAUGUUUUUCAUGAAGAGGAUAAAACUUUGCAUAAAAGAGAGGCAUAAGAUCUUGCCAAUUUAGUAAAUGAGAGUCAUCAAGAAGCCUAUACCAAUCCAAAGCCUUAUCUUUUAAUGAUAGAGAGAAUAGAUUUAUCAUAACAAAAUCCAUCGAUAUACCUGCAAGCUUAAAUAAGGACCAUAGUUGUGAAAGAUAGAACAAGUGUUCACCUGGAUGUCUAUCUCCUACAUAUCGAUUAGCCAAAACACAAUCAAUAAUACCAGUUGGUAUUUUAAAAGGCACAAUUUCAGUAGGUGGGGGAGGCAUAUCCACCACAAUAGCGUUGGGGCGGUUCCCCACAAGCAACAAACCAAGAGCAGAGUGGUCCAUAGGGACAAAAAGCGGGAACAGUAAAACAAAAACAGCACGUACAUCGUAAAGAUUUCCUUACCAAUUUCUCUUACCAAUAGGGCUACACUCCCCGGCAACGGCGCUAGAAAAUGGUCUUGAUGACCCACAAGUUUAGGGUAUCAACUGUAGAAUUUUAGAUAAGUAAGAGUGUCGAACCCAACGAGGAGCAGAAGGUAUUGACAAGUGAUCUUGAGCAAGGAAUAACUGCAAGUACUGAAAGGUAACUUUUUAUGGGUUUUCUAGUAUAAGCAACAAGGAAAUAAAUGCAAGUAAAGUAAAUGGUGCCGAGGUGCAGGAAGUGGACCAAUACUUUUAAACACAAAGGAUAAGCCGAGGGACUAAACUUAUAAAGACUAAGGCGUUCCUGAGGACACAUGGGAGAGAUAGUCAAGUGCUUUCACCAUAUUCUGUCUAGUAUUAUAUUUUGUAUUGAUAAUUGUUAUGUGGGUGGAUCUUAACUAGCACACCGUCUAGGAUCAGACAAGUACACUCUUAUGAUUAAUAUCUCUUGCAAGCAUCCGCAAAUACAAGAGAGAAAUUAAGGCAAAGCCUAACCAUAGCAAUAAGCUUUAGGAUCCAAUACCCCCUCAUGCAAAAGCAUGCGAACUGGGGUUCAAGUUUCUGUCAGUCCGGUAACCCACCAUAAGCAUUCUUUAUACACGAUGCAUUCCCCUAGGUCCUUAAAAAGGUGAAGUGUUAUGUAGUCGAUGUUCACAUAACACCACUAGAAGAAUAACACCAUAACUAAAAUAUCAAUCAACACAUAUUACUUCAACAUCAUAUGACUACUAGCAUCUAGACUUUUCCCAUGUCCUCAAGAACUAAUGGCACUAAUCACAAGACAUAAAAAGAUAUCACGGUUAGAGGUGAUGAAAAUAUGAUUAACAAUCUGGUCAUAUCAAUAAUCCUCCAACAAAACUCAAUAGCAUUCACCACAAGAGAGUAAUCAACACCGGUAGAGUAGAGGGGAUGAAUAGUGCAAGGUACAACUCCGAUUGCAAUGGUGAAGUAGAUGGGAUGAAGGUGGAGAUGGUGCUGGUGUUGGUGAUGAUGAUCUCGAUGAUGCCCGUGACGAUGGUGAUAACGACGAGGACGAUCUCUCCUUUCGGGAGGAGUUCUCCCCGGCGGAUGUUGCCUGCCGGAAAGGUCUUUUCUUCUGUGUAGGUUUCCGCCGCGCAGCGGCGGCGGAAUUGUGAAAACUCUUCUGUCCCCGUAAUUUUUAGGUCAAGGGGGACAUAUAGGCCAAAGGAGAGCACCGGAGGACGGACCCACCACCCAGGCGGCAUCCUGGCAUGGCCUAGGGGGGUCAUGCCAGCAGGUCCCCUGGGUGACUGGUGGCCCCCCUCUGGCUGUUCUUUGGCGUGUCUUCGGGAUCUGUCUUGAAACUUCUUCCCUCUGAUUUUCAGCGCAGUUGGAGAUGUUCUCAUAUUGUAACUCUUCGUGCUAUUUUCUCCGCUGAAUCCCGCGUCUACUGUUUCGGCAUCGUAAAGUUGUAAGCUGUGUAAAAUAAGCCAAAACACUAUAAGUACAUCAUCAUAAAGUGAAAUAUAUAAAUGAAUAGAGAUAAAUUAUGAUACAAAAUAGUGAUGCAUUUUGGACGUAUCACUUGGCAAUGGCAAUAGCUCCAGUGUUUUCACAAAAGAGAUUCAUCAGGACCGACGCACUAGGAAUCACUCCUAGGUCAGUGAUGAACUUAUUCAUCCGGACUCCUUCCUGUACCGCGCUUUAGAUGUAGAUGCCGCCACGACGCUUUGCUUGCAACUGCACCAGCUGACUGCCCACCAUUAAAAAUAUACACAUGUCCGGUUUGUGACUUCUAGUCAUCCAGAUCUGUGUCGAAGCUAGCAUCAACGUAACCCUUUACGACGAGCUCUUUGGCACCUCCAUAAACGAGAAACAUAUAUUUAGUACUUUUCACGUACUUAAGGAUAUUCUUGACCGUUGUCCGAUGAUCCACUCCUGGAUCACGUUGGUACCUCCAUACCAAACUUAUGGCAAGGUUCACAUCAGGUCUAGGACACAGCAUGGCAUACGUAAUAGAGCCUAUGGCUGAAUCAUAUGGGAUGGUGCUCAUCUUUUCUCUAUCUUCCGUCAUGGUCGGUCGUUGAGCUGUGCUCAACCUGACACCUUGCAAUACAGGCAAGAACUCCUUCUUGGACUUAUCCAUAUUGAACUUCUUCAAUAUCUUGUCAAGGUGUGUGCUUUGUGAAAGACCAAUGAGGCGUCUCGAUCUAUCUCUAUAGAUCUUGAUGCCUAAUAUGUAAGCACCUUCUCCAAGGUCCUUCAUUGAAAAAUACUUAUUCAAAUAGACCUUUAUACUUUCAAAAAGUUCUAUAUCAUUUCCCAUCAACAAUAUGUUAUCCACAUAUAAUAUGAUCAAUGCUACACAGCUCCCACUCACUUUCUUGUAAAUACAGACUUCUCCAUAAGUCGGUACAAACCCAAACGCUUUGAUCACCUCAUCAAAGCAAAUGUUCCAACUCCGAGAUGCUUGCACCAGCCCAUAGAUGGACUGCUGGAGCUUGCAUACCUUGUCAGCAUUUUUAGGAUCGACAAAACCUUCCAGCUGUAUCAUAUACAAUUCUUCCUUAAGAAAGCCGUUCAAGAAUGUCGUUUUGACGUCCAUUUUCCAUAUCUCAUAAUCAUAAAAUGCGGCAACUGCUAACAUGAUUUGGACGGACUUCAGCAUCGCUACGGGUGAGAAAGUCUCAUCGUAGUCAAUUCCUUGAAUUUGUCGAUAACCUUUAGCGACAAGUCGAGACUUAUAGAUGGUCACAUUACCAUCCGCAUUAGUCUUCUUCUUAAAGAUCUUAUCAAUGACAUCCAAUGUCCAUGAUCAGGAAAGCAUGACCAUCUAUUGAACAGCGAUCUAGCCAAGUAGAGGAUCACUAGGGACAUGUUGUGGUCUAUGUAUUCACACAUGAAUUGUGGUUUCCGGUUAAUACAAUUAUAGCAUGGACAAUAGACAGUUAUCAUGAACUAGAAAAUAUAAUAAUAACCACUUUAUUAUCGCCUCUAGGGUGUAUAUCCAACACAUUCUAUUUAAUUUCAUGUUAUUUACUUUUCAUGUUUAGUAAACUUCCUCUAUCAACCUCGAUAUGUAGUUGGCAAGCAUUAUUUUGUGUGGAAAGAUGCAAAGUCAUAUAUCCUCUCAAAUAUAUUUGGUCAUGAAUUAGUAAUGUUGACAAUUAUCAUUCAAUAAGUAAUUUGGGAGUUGAAACAUUAAGCCCCAUUCUUUGUUUGGGUUCGACGGAUGCUAUUUUCUCCCAAAAUAUGCUUUGAGCACCAGCAAUCAUACGAGACUAUAUGAUAAUUGAGUAUGUGCAACUCUUACUUAGACUUUUUCCGAAAUCAGUAUGAAUUUUAAUUGUUUGGUGACUAUGAACAUAGGUUGUUAAGUUUCAAGAGAAUGCAUGUUUUGUAAUAGUAGCAUGUGAACUCAUUUCUACUUUAUUAGGAUGAUCUUAAACCGUGUGUUCGUACCACUUUGCCACAUGAUGGUUUUUUGAAAAUUAGAGCCAAUUAAAACUUUUUGCAUGCUUGUGUUGGUUGAUACGAUUGCUACUUGCUUGUGUGUUUGACUAUGUUUUGAACCACCUAAAAUUUAUUCUCCUCUCAAGAACUCAUCUCCUUGACACCAAACCUUUGACCAAUGAUCAUGCCAUGCGUAUAGGACCAGAAGCUAUUUUUAUAAAUUAAUAUUUCAAGAAAAAAGGAAUUUAUUUAUUUUAAUCUUUCGAAAAACCCUAAGUUGCGACUUGUACUACAAGUCCUCAAUUUAGGAGAGAUGCUUUACAAAAAAUAUUUUAUUUGGAUCCUAUUAUCAAAAAAGACUUCCCAAUACCAUAAAAUAAUUUUGAACCCAAACAUAGAGUUAUUUUACAAUUUUAUUUAAAAACUUUUUCUAAGGCAAGAAACAGUAUUUCAUAGGAUUUUAUUACUUUGAAUAUAUUUGAGAAAAUUUCGGGAAACUCGGUGGACAUAUAUUCCAUAUAUAAGAGUUUCAACACAUGGUCAUGUUCAAACUACUGGACAAAACCCCUCAAAACCCUUUGUACCUAUUUCAAGAUUUUGAAAUAUUUCCAAAGGAAAUAUUUUCGAUAUAUUCCAAGAAAAAUCUAGCACAUCACACAUGCUAUAUGUGGUGACCUUGCCAUGUUUCAUAUCAAUCCAAGUUCAUUUGGUCCACCAAAAUAUUCCAAAACCCUCUCUCUCCAUAACCAAAUUUGAGCAACUUUACUUUGCCAAGUUUGUGCAAUUUAUCUUAAACUUAACAAGAGUGAUCUUGACCACAAAUAAGGAUGCUACACCAAGUUGUGCAUUUGUGGGAAUACAUUAAUCUAGCUUAGCCUUCAGAAAUCUGAUUCUGCCCAGUUCUAAGGUUUUUCAAGUUUGCAUUGACAACAUUGCUCAAAUGAGCUCAAAACAACAUGAAACACCUUCUCGUAGUUUGAUAAAAGCUACCCUUUUACCCCUUCCAGUAUUCUCCUUCACUUCAAAUUCUACCACAGCUGAUCUGAGAACCCAAGCACCCCCAGGAGCCACCCCAGCAUCUAGGUGCAUUGUUGCAGGGGUGAAAAACUCCAUUUUUCCCGUGGGCAACACUUUGCCUCUCUCUCUCACUUCUCUCUCUCCCGUGGCCAGUAUCUCGAGCAUCCAAUGGCUCCUACCCCUUUGUUUAAACCAUCUGCUGCAAAAGGGCACUAGUGCCCGCGCUAGAGCGCGUUAGGGGCAUCAUCAUGACAUCCAUACGCGUGCUCUGGAGCAUGCUACAGGACAGCCAAGGCACUCCAGAGGUUUGACCUCGCGCGCCCGUCCUCCUCGAGCCCCUCCCGUGUGCCAGGAGCAGCGCCCCGACCCCCGCAAGAUGCCAGGGAAAAGACCCCAUCCUCUCCGCCCUUCCCGCUGCUCCCUCCCGCGUGAAUGCACUGCUACCUGUGUCCCCAACCGAUGAUCUCAGACACGCCUCACCACAAGGCCUUCCCCCUUGUCUUCUACCUUCUGACGCCUCCGUGUAGACCCACUCACCUUGCCCAUGCCUUUGGUUUGAGCCGCCACAGUCUUAGUACUCGGCCCAAGAUCUCCCGCACACCCAGCACCCUGCCCCCAUCACGCGCCUCUACACAGGCCUCCUUGAGGUUCCUCCUCCCCUUAGGACCCUCUCUUCCACUCCCAGUCGAGCCGCAGAGCCACUCCCUACUCCCCUCGAUCCCCCUGUGCUCGGGAUCGACCAAAGCUCAGCCACGUCGGGCCAUUGUCGAUCUCGGGGUACGGCCACUCCCCGUCCUCAUUUCUUGUCUCAUUGGCUAUCCCAUGCCACUCUGAUGGUUUCCCCACUAUCCCUGUGUGUUUUGCACUCAGGAACACCGACUCCGACCACCUCCUGAAGCUCCUCUGCCGUGGGACGUCAUCGUCGGUGAACCAGGCCUCCCCGACGUCCAACUCCUCCACCACCCUAUUGGUGGCAGCACCCCGGUUCAAUUUCCAUGCUCAACUACCCUCGUUGUGCCUUCCUCCACCGUCUGUGUGCAUUGCCCCCUGUUUGCCAUAAGUUGACGACGACCCCGACAAAGGGAUACCACCUGUCAGCCUCCACCUCGUCAUGUGCCUCCUUCCUCUCUCGCUCGCGCAUGGGCCCCGCCCGUCAGGUUUGGACCUCACGUGCGCGGGUGCGCUGGCUUGCGUGGGCCGGCCUGGCUCAUCUGGCUCGCUCUGCCCCGCUCGCACACACCUUUUUGCUUUUUCUUUGUUCUGACUGUUUCCAAAAAUUCUUGUGGCUAAAAUAUUAUUCAAAAUUCUGUGAUUCAAAUUUAUUAAAAUUUUCAAUAUUACAACCUAUUUGAAUAUGCCACCUGUGCAAUUUUUUUAAAUGGUUUCACACACUCUUUUAUUUUAAAAUCUUGUUUAGGGCAUUUUAACAUUCAGUUAAAAUAUAUUUUUCACAACUUUUUGCACUUCAAAAAUAAAAUCGAACAAUUUUCAGACUACCUAUACUCACCCUAGUAUUUUACAAAAAUGGGUUGGCAUUUUUUUCAGUGUCUUAUUUUUUCUGUUUUUGCCGUGGUCUUAUUAUUUCCGUUAUGUUUGCGAUGAUAGAUUGCGUUGUUGACGAAGGGCUUGGACGAGAAGACUUUGAAGACCUCGGAGACCUUGCUGAGCAAGGCAAGCAGCCCUUUGACCAUGUCUUAGAAAAUAUUUUGUGCAUUUCAUAUAGCACUCCCUUCCGAUGCAUUGAAUCAUGUUGAAUCGGUGACCACCUUGGUGGGUUGUCUCCGAAAAACUCCUUGUUGAUACUUGCACUUGGGCAUGACCCUACCUUGCUAUGAGGGUUGUGCGCGUGGGAAGUCGUUAGGUUGCUAGUAGUUGCUAUGCAAAUGGGAUGGGAAUAUGCAUGGUGAUGAUGAAGGAAAAGAUUUCAAGGACUUUUCAAAAAAACGUCGGGUGCCACUAAUGCCCGAGGGAGAUGGUCUUGAGCUACCUAACCACUUGAGAAAGAAGUGUUGUAUCGAGACAAGCUUUGUGUCUGGUUUCAAAAAUGGGAUUAUAUUUAAGAUUUGCUGACCGUCCCAACCUUACAUGUGGGACCACAAUACCACCUUUACAAGACAAGGCUUUGUUGAUUACUUUGGUCAAUAGUAGCACAGACACCACAUUACUAGUGGCAGGAGUGGCGUGGACACUCUCGAGACACGGUAUUGCCAAGAAUGGCGACCAUGAGCUGUCUUCACAGACAUCGGGCACAAUGUUAUGUGCCCCCAUGGAUGGUACGAUCUUGAGCGAGGCUUGUAUGAUGUACAUCACGAGGAUGUCACCAACGAGUGGACUCUUUGUUUAGUAUCCCGAGGGAAAGACAUUGUUAGGGUGCUUACCUCGGGUAUGUAUUAUAUCGUGAUUCAUGGAUGAGAUGGAAGUUUCCCGAGUCUUCUGGGUACAAUGUGCAAACCUCUAUAGAGUGUAAAACUAUUCGAAUAGUCGUGUCCACGGUCAAAGACAAUUGGGUGGAACUGCUUAAACUACAUCCAGAAGUAUUUGCAUUAACCAAGUGUGGGUGGGUGUGAGAAAGAUGACUGUGUGGCAAAGAUGGCAGUAUGAUUCAUGGGCUAAGUUAGACGACUUGGCAUGAUGGGUGGACAUGGGAUGCUCGACCCUGAGUUGAUAUUGAUAUAUGUAACCUGUUCGUAUGGAUAUCGUUUACCUCAUGAUGCAUGCCCUCACAAGAAAUUGAUCAUGUCAUUACACUCGAAAAUCUGCUUUCCGCAAGUUACCUAUUAGUGCUAUAUCAUGUCUUGUUAUUGUCUUGUUCCACAACAUGGGUUGCUUGCAAGUACCUUCAAAGUAAUCAUUGGCUUGCCACUGGUUAUUUAAUUCGCCAGACAUGGAAGAGCAGGAAUAUGGAGAAGAGUUCGUACGUGACGAGCAUGCGAAAUAGGAUGCUUCCAAGUCAGAAUGACUGUAGAUUAAGGCAGAUGGCAUGGGUUCAGGCUUGCAUUCAAGAUUUCCGUUGCUAGUCACAUUUGGUGUGUCGGCCUUCGAGGCCCUAUCUAUGUAAGGAUUGACCCUAAUGUCUCUAUUUGUAUCAGACGGUAUGUAUGGAUAUAAGACUCAUGUUAUUCAGGUUUAGUGUGUUCACUGAGCAUUGAUCUUUGGGAUCAUUGUACACAUUCAUUCGGUGAUCACGACUUAUGAGUCGGGGUCCCCAUAGAGUUGGUAUUAGAGCCAUCCUCACUAUACGAAGCCUUAGUUAGCAUGGACGUUAGAUAGUAUAAACCCCCUUUCGGAAACUGUACCUAGCAUCUAUACUUAGGAGUUUGUGCACUUCUUACCUCUUGCACUCUACUUCAAAAGCAUUACUAACACCAUGCCCUUAAACCUUGUAGAUGGUCGUCGUACCCGAAGAACUCAUAGCAUCCGGCUUUCCCCUACUCCUUGAGGAUAGCCUGGAAAAGUGCGAGUUCCACCGAGCACCCGUUUUUAUCUACCAUGAGCACUGGGUUGAUGCCACCACGAAGGAGUAUCAUGUUGACGUGGCCAUGAAGGCAAACGAUUCCCCGGUGAGUUGGUUCUUUGAAGGGCCACAAAUGGAGACUCUGGUGUUAGCAGUUGAGAUAACUGCGUGGAAGGCACUCAUCCACCUUUGAGACAUCAUCCCAGAGAUGGCUGACGAGUCGGCUACUCGCCACUUUCCUUUCGAGAAAGAUGAUAUAGGCGAGAGUUGGAUGUUGAUUCCAUCCCCGAAGGUUUGGACACUGAUACGUCUCAAACGUAUCUAUAAUUUUUGAUGGUUUCACGCUGUUAUCUUGUCAACUUUGGAUGUUUUGUUUACCUUUUAUAUCUUUUUUGGGACUAACUUAUUAAUCCAGUGCCAAGUGCCAGUUCUUGUUUUUUCUGUGUUUUUGACUCUUUUCAUAUCUGAUUUUGGAAUGGAGUCCAAACGAAAUAAAAUCCCAGAAAUAAUUUUUUCUAGAAUGGAAGAAGAUCGGGAGGUUUGAGGGCCAAGGCAGUGGGCCCACAGGGGGCCCAAAAGCCCUGUUGCCGCGACCAAGGGGGAGGCCGCGGCAACCAAGCUUGUGGCCCCCCUGGCGCUCCCCUGUCCUAGGUCUUUGGCCUAUAAAUUCCCUAAAAAUCCAGAAAAAAUCAGGGCAUCCACGAAAACACUUUUCCGCCGCCGCAAGCUUCCGUUUCCGCGAGAUCUCAUCUCGAGACCCUUCCGGGUGCCCUGCCAGAGGGGACUUUGGAGUUGGAGGGCUUCUACAUCAACAUCAUCGCCUCUCCAAUGACUCGUGAGUAGUCUACUUCAGACCUACGGGUCCGUAGUUAGUAGCUAGAUGGCUUCUUCUCUCUCUUGGAUCUUCAAUACAAAGUGCUCCAUGAUCUUCAUGGAGAUCUAUCCGAUGUAAUCCUCUUUGGCGGUGUGUUUGCCGAGAUCCGAUGAAUUGUGGAUUUGUGAUCAGAUUAUCUAUGAAUUAUAUUUGAGUCUUUGUUGAUUUCUUAUAUGCAUGAUUUGAUAUCCUUGUAAGUCUCUCUGAGUCUUGGGUUUUGUUUGGCCAACUAGAUCUAUGAUUCUUGCAAUGGGAGAAGUGCUUUGUUUUGGGUUCAUACCAUGUGGUGACCUUUCCCAGUGACAGAAGGGGCAGCAAGGCACGCAUCAUGUUGUUGCCAUCAAGGGUAACAAGAUGGGAUUUUAUCGUAGAUAUGAGAUUGUCCAUCUACAUCAUGUCAUCUUGCUUAAGGCGUUACUCUGUUCUUUUGGACUUAAUACACUAGAUGCAUGGUGGAUAGCGGUCGACGUGUGGAGUAAUAGUAGUAGAUGCAGAAAGUAUCGGUCUACUUGCUUUGGAUGUGAUGCCUAUAGAUAUAAUCAUUGCCUUAGAUAACGUCACGACUUUGCGCGGUUCUAUCAAUUGCUCGACAAUAAUUCGUUCACCCACCGUCUACUUGCUUUCAUGAGAGAAGCCACUAGUGAACACUACGGCCCCCGGGUCUAUUCACUACUAUCGUUUCCACUUUCACUUUUACUUUGCUUGUUUACUCUUUGCUUUCAGUUCUCACUUUGCAAACAAUCUAUAAGGGAUUGACAACCCCUUCAUAGCGUUGGGUGCAGCUCUUUGUGUUUGUGCAGGUACUUGUGACUUGAUGCGAUCCUCCUACUGGAUUGAUACCUUGGUUCUCAAAACUGAGGGAAAUACUUACCGCCGCUGUGCUACAUCACCCUUUCCUCUUCAAGGGAACACCAACGCAAGGCUCCAAGGCUGCGGGGAAAUCCUUUGCAUAUUUGCCAAGGAAGUCCCUAAAGGCGUAGCUCUAGAAGUAGGAUUCCUGACGCCGUACCAGGGAAGGUCUGUUGUCGCAGUAGCAGAAGGAUUUCUGGCGCCGUUGCCGGGGAGGAUCAAGUCAAGAAUAGUCUCUCUUCAACGUGCUGAUUUCUGGCGCAAGGAGGAGAUCUAUCCAAGUAGGUGUCACAAACUCAUCUCUUGCAUUUACCUUUUUUGCCAGUUGCCUCUCGUUUUCCUCUCCCCCAGUUCACAUUUGUCGUUUUCAUUUGCCUUUCUCCUUUUCCGUUUUCAUUUGCCUUUUUGUCAUUUUCCUUUGCCGCUUUCUUUUGCCCUUUGCCGUUUUACUUUGCCGGUUUUCUUGCUUGCUUGUGUGCUUGUUUGUUUGUUGAAGUCAUCAUGGAUGAAAACACCAAACUUUGCGACUUCUCGAGUACCAAUAAUAAUGAUUUUAUUUGUACUCCGAUUGCUCCCUUCACUAGUGUGGAAUCAUAUGAAAUCAACGCAGCUUUGCUGAAUCUUGUUAUGAAAGAGCAAUUCUGUGGCCUUCCUAGUCAAGAUGUCGCAUCCCAUCUCAAUACCUUCAUUGAGCUUUGCGAUAUGCAAAAGAAAAGAGAUGUGGAUAAUGACGUGAUUAAGUUGAAGCUUUUUCCUUUCUCGUUGCGAGAUCGCGCAAAAACUUGGUUUUCUUCUUUGCCUAAAAAUAGUAUCGAUUCUUGGGAUAAGUGCAAAGAUGCUUACAUAUCCAAGUAUUUUCCACCGGCUAAGAUUAUCUCCUUAUGUAACGAUAUCAUGAAUUUCAAGCAACUUGAUCAUGAACACGUUGCACAAUCUUGGGAGAGGAUGAAGUUAGUGAUUAGAAAUUGUCCCGCUCAUGGCUUGAGUUUGUGGAUCAUUAUACAAAUCUUUUACGCUGGUUUGAAUUUCACUUCUCGCAAUAUCUUGGACUCCGCCUCAGGUAGAACGUUCAUGGAAAUCACGUUAGGAGACGCUACAAAAAUCCUAGACAAUAUCAUGACCAACUACUCUCAGUGGCACACUGAAAGGUCACCUACUAGCAAAAAGGUACAUGCUAUAGAAGACAUUAACUCGCUUAGUGCUAAGAUGGAAGAGUUGAUGAAUUUGGUUGCUAGUAGAAAUGCUCCUUUAGAUCAUAAUGACAAGCCACUAUCUUCCUUGAUUGAGAGUAGCAACCCUAGUUUGGACAUUAAUUUUGUUGGUAGGGACAAUUUUGGCAACAACAAUGCUUUUAGAGGAAACUAUGUUCCUAGGCCUUUUCCUAGUAAAUCCUCUAACAAUUAUGGAAAUUCCUACAACAACACUUAUGGAAAUCACAACAAAUUACCCUCUGAUUUAGAGAGUAAUAUCAAAGAGUUCAUCAACUCUCAAAAGAUUUUCAAUGCGUCCAUAGAGGAAAAACUACUCAAAAUAGACGAUUUGGCUAAGAGCGUUGAUAUGUUGUCUUGUGAUAUUGAUGCUUUGAAAGUUAUGUGUGCUCCUCCCAAGGUAAACUUGGAUGAAACUUUAAAAGCUAUGCGUGUCUCCAUGAAUGAGAGCAAAGAAAGAACCGCCCAAAUUCGCGCUAGGCAUGAAUGGUUUAAAAGGGUGCGUUCUAGUGAUGCAAAUCACGAAGAUCUUAAAGUGCUUGGUGUGACUCCUCUUGAAUCUUUGUUUUCACGUGUCAAACCUAUUGGUGAAGGGGCUGGAUAUGAAUCCACUUUGGUUGAAAAACGCCCCAAUGAUUCGGAGCCCACCUAUCUUGAUGAUAAAGGUGUGGAGAGUGGAGUAGAAGAAAUCAAAAUUUUGGGUAGUAAUGACACUCCCAAUUUGGAUUUCAAGGAGUUCAAUUAUGAUAGUUUCUCCUUGUUUGAAUGCAUUUCCUUGAUGCAAUCCAUUGCAAACUCUCCACAUGCUUAUAGCCAAAGCAAAGCCUUUACCGCACAUAUCGUAGAUGCUAUGAUGAAAUCUCUUGAAGAGAAGCUCGAAUUAGAAGUCUCUAUACCUAGAAAACUUCAUGAUGAGUGAGAACCUACAAUCAAAAUCAAGAUCAAAAACUAUGAAUGCAAUGCUUUGUGUGAUUUGGGUGCUAGUGUUUCCGCAAUUCCAAAGUCUUUAUGUGAUAUUCUUGGUUUUCAUGAGAUUGAAGAGUGUUCUCUUAAUUUGCAUCUUGCGGAUUCUACUGUCAAGAAACCCANGUGUUUUGCUUGGAGCAUCUUGUAUCAUAGGUGUCUUUUAUUUUUGCUGUGUCACAAUCAUCCUUGCUGCACACCUACAGAGAGAGACAUGCACUCACCGUGAUUUUGUCGAGCUUCACUUAUAUCCUUUGGUUAGACAAUUCAGCUCAUAUUUGCUUCACUUAUAUCUUUUGAGCUAGUUGCUUUUGCUCUAUGUGCUUCACUUUUAUCUUUUAGAGCACGGCGGUGCGUGGUUUGGUAGUUGAUCUAUGCUUUGAAAGUAGUCUCAAAAGGGGCAGUUAUCCAAAGGGAUAUGAAAACUUCCACCUUCAUGUGCAUUGAAUAGUUAGAGAAGUUUGAUUCAUUUCAAUUAGUUUUGAGUUGUGGUUGUGGUAAUAUUGAUGUUAUAUUAGUAAGGUGUUGUGGAUCUAGAAAUACAUGUGUUGAAGUUAGUGAUUACCGUAGCAUGCACGUAUGGUGAACCGCUAUGUGAUGAAGUCUGAGCAUGAUUAGUCUAUUGAUUGUCAUCCUUUGUGUGGCGGUCGGGAUCGCGCGAUGGUUUAUACCUACCAACCCUUCCCCUAGGAGUAUGCGUUGAAUGCUUUGUUUCGAUUACUACUAAAACUUUUGCAACAAGUAUAUGAGUUCUUCAUGACUAAUGUUGAGUCCAUGGUUUAGAUGCACUUUCACCUUCCACCAUCACUAUCUUCUUUAGUGUCGUGCAACUUUCGCCGGUGCACAAAACCUACCAUUAGCCUCCCUCAAAACAGCCACCAUACCUACCUACUAUGGCUUUUUCAAAGCUAUUCCGAGAUAUAUUGCCAAGCAACUACCACCAUGACAUGUGCCACCACUUCUACAUUGCCAUUGCAUGAUCGUAAGAUAGCUAGCAUGAUGUUUCCAUUUAUAUCUAUGCCUUGCUAGAUCAUUGUCACGGUACACUACCGAAGGCAUUCCAUAUAGAGUCAUCAUUGCUCUAAGUUUUGAGUUGUAAGUGUGAUGAUCAUCAUUGAUGGAGCAUUGUCCCAUGUGAGGAAAUAAGAGAGGCCAAAGAUGCCCACCAAAAAAAAGAGGCCAAAGAGCCCACACACAAAAAAAUGAGAGAAAAAGAGAGAAAGGACAAUGGUACCACCUUUCCACACUUGUGCAUAUUAAGCACCAUGAUCUUCAUGAUUGAGAGUCUCUCGUUUUGUCACCACCAUAUAGCUAGUGGGAAAUUUUCAUUAUAUAACUUGGCUUGUAUAUUCCAAUGAUAGGCUUCCUCAAAAUUGCCUUAGGUCUUCGUGAGCAAGCAAGUUGGAUGCACACCCACUAGUUUUCUUUAAGAGCUUUCACAUACUCUUAGCUCUCGUGCAUCAUUUGUAUGGCAAUCCCUACUCAUUCACGUUGAUAUCUAUUGAUGAGCACCUCCAUAGCUCAUCGAUAUGCCUAGUCAAUGUGACCAUCUUCUCCUUGUUUGUCUUGCAACCUCCACCACACUCCACACCACUUAUAGUGCUAAAACCAUGGCUCACGCUCAUGUAUUGCGUGAGAGUUGAAAAAGUUUGAGAAAGUAAAGGUAUGAAAACAAUUACUUGGCCAAUACCGGGGUUGUGCAUGAUUUAAGUUCGUUGUGCAAUGAUGAUAGAGCAUAGCCAGACUAUAUGAUAGAGCAUACCUUACUAGUUUGCUUGAAUUAUUAUUGUCUCCACGUCAAUAGAAAACUAUUGUUUUGAAUCUAAUGGAUCUGAACAUUCACGUCACAUAAGAGGAGUUACAAAGGACAUCUAUGCUAGGUAGCAUGAAAGCAUCAAAAAUUCAUUCUUUAUCACAUCCCUACUCGAGGACGAGCAAGAGUUAAGCUUGGGGAUGCCUGAUAUGUCUCAAACGUAUCUAUAAUUUUUUAUGGUCUCACGUUGUUAUCUUGUCAACUUUGGAUGUUUUGUUUACCUUUUACAUCCUUUUUGGGACUAACUUAUUAAUCCAGUGCCAAGUGCCAGUUCAUGUUUUUUCUGUGUUUUUGAGUCUUCUCAGAUCUGAUUUUGGAACGGAGUCCAAACAGAAUAAAAUCCCCGAAAUAAAUUUAACCAGAACGGAAGAAGAUCGGGAGGCUUGAGGGCCAAGGCAGUGGGCCCACAAGGGGCCCACAAGCCCUGUUGCCGCGGCCAGGGGGAGGCCGCAGCAACCAAGCUUGUGGCCCCCCUAGCGCUCCCCUGCCCUAGGUCUUUGGCCUAUGAAUCCCUGAAAAUCCAGAAAAAAUCAGGGCAUCCACGAAAACACUUUUCCGCCGCCGCAAGCUUCCGUUUCCGCGAGAUCUCAUCUGGAGACCCUUCCCGGUGCCCUGCCGGAGGGGACUUUGGAGUUGGAGAGCUUCUACAUCAACAUCAUUGCCUCUCCAAUGACUCGUGAGUAGUCUACUUCAAACCUACGGGUCCGUAGUUAGUAGCUAGAUGGCUUCUUCUCUCUUUUGGAUCUUCAAUACAAUGUUCUCCAUGAUCUUCAUGGAGAUCUAUCCGAUGUAAUCCUCUUUGGCGGUGUGUUUGUCGAGAUCCGAUGAAUUGUGGAUUUGUGAUCAGAUUAUCUAGGAAUUAUAUUUGAGUCUUUGCUGAUUUGUUAUAUGCAUGAUUUGAUAUCCUUGUAAGUCUCUCCGAGUCUUGGGUUUUGUUUGGCCAACGAGAUCUAUGAUUCUUGCAAUGGGAGAAGUGCUUGGUUUUGGGUUCAUACCGUGUGGUGACCUUUCCCAAUGACAGAAGGGGCAGCAAGGCACGCAUCAUGUUGUUGCCAUCAAGGGUAAAAAGAUGGGCUUUUAUCGUAGAUAUGAGAUUGUCCAUCUACAUCAUGUCAUCUUGCUUAAGGCGUUACUCUGUUCUUUUGGACUUAAUACACUAGAUGCAUGCUGGAUAGCGGUCGACGUGUGGAGAAAUAGUAGUAGAUGCAGAAAGUAUCGGUCUACUUUUUUUGGAUGUGAUGCCUGUAGAUGUAAUCAUUGCCUUAGAUAACGUCACGACUUUGCGCGGUUCUAUCAAUUGCUCGACACUAAUUCGUUCACCCACCGUCUACUUGCUUUCAUGAGAGAAGCCACUAGUGAACACUACGGCCCCCGGGUCUAUUCACAACUAUCGUUUCCACUUUCACUUUUACUUUGCUUGUUUACUCUUUGCUUUCAGUUCUCACUUUGCAAACAAUCUAUAAGGGAUUGACAACCCCUUCAUAGCGUUGGGUGCAGCUCUUUGUGUUUGUGCAGGUACUUGUGACUUGAUGCGAUCCUCCUACUGGAUUGAUACCUUGGUUCUCAAAACUGAGGGAAAUACUUACCGCCGCUGUGCUACAUCACCCUUUCCUCUUCAAGGGAACACCAACGCAAGGCUCCAAGGUCGCGGGGAAAUCCUUUGCAUAUUUGCCAAGGAAGUCCCUAAAGGCGUAGUCGUAGCAGCAGGAUUCCUGGCGCCGUACCAGGGAAGGUCUGUUGUCGCAGUAGCAGACACCACUUAGAUUCCAUACCUACUCUUCUCUCUCUGCCGACAGUGUGGCUCACAACCUGAUCAAGGAGUCCUUGAAGUUCCGCAAGGUACUUCACCACACUCGCGAGCUACUCCGGCUAGACAAGGCGAAGCCGGACAAGGUCAAGAAGGAUGGAGCCCCCGAGGGACGACCAACUAUCGCUUACAGAGGAGAAGUACCCCCCAUCUAGAGAUGCACCCACAUGUCAUCAUCGCAUGAGUGUGAAGGAGCAUCCUACGCUCUUCGCUGAUCCUCCAACAAAUCAUCAUCGGUAUGGACCUCCUCGUCCUCCGAUACCGUUGACGGGAGAUGAUGCUCGUACAAAUGAUGACCAGGAGGAAGACCCAAAGGAGUGUGAGUACAAGUCCGAGCACUCUUCCACUUGAGUCCAAGAACCCCUAGGGUAGGAUAAGUCUUGUAUCCCUCAUGUGAAGUCGAGUCAGUGUAAUUGUUCAUAUGAAACCACGUGUUAUUGUUGUUUGUUUUAUUGUUUGUGUUUCAAUGCAAGUCGUGCUUCUGCCUUAGGCAACAUGUAAGUGACUACAUCGCCUAACUUAUCUUAAAGUUAUGUGUUGGGUAUUUCGGCCUAUAAUUGUCACAUGCACUAUACCAACCACCUUAGGCAUGUUUUCCUCUUGUUGUUGCUUCCGUUGUAUAUUCCAGUUAUUUGACUUGGCUGCUCCAAACAGGAUGGUGACUACGACCCGCAACAACACUUUUGGCAACUCCACCACCGACAACUCUAGCAAGCAGCUGGAGGCCGGUGGGUCUGCUGAAGAUGGAGGUCAUCAGGAGCAGCCACAAGGCGACCUUCCCCCGAAACCUCCUCCACUUGAGAACAUGAACAUAGCUCAGUUUCUUGAAAUUCUCCCGGAGGAAUGCCAAGCCAACACAACUGAUAGCGGGCAGAUGGCUCAAGUUCUUGUGAACAACCAGUAGCAAGGUGGGAACGGCAAUGGUCGUUCCACACUGUUUGAGUUCAUGAAUAUUUUGUCCCCGAGCUUCAACAAGAUGGUUGAACCUUUGGAUGUUGAUGACUGGAUCCGCACCAUCGAGGACCUCCUUGCAUUGGUCAACUGCAAUGAGGACUGUGAGAAGGUUCUCUAUGCCUCUCACUGCCCCGGAGGUACCGCCAGAGCUUAUUGGGAUGGAUUCGAUGUCAUGCAAGGCGAGCGUGUGAUCGUGUGGGCUGAUUUAAAGAAAGGAUUUCACACAACCACAUCCCUUUUGAGAUUAUGGCAUCAAGAAGCGGGAAUUUUGAGCGCUGAAGCAAGGAAAUCGAUCUGUCAAGGAGUACAUGUAGAAGUUCAACCUCCUCUCAAGAUAUGCGUGUGAUGAUGUCAGCACUAAGGCAACCAAGAUAGAGCGCUUCAUGGAAGGCUCCAGCAAGCACUACAGUAUCAACUUGUUGUCUAUGUCGGACUUUCUUCGAGCUGGUGAACAAGGCUCUCAUGCUUCAAGACAAGCGUCAUGCCAUGGAACACACACACAAAUGCAAGAUGAUCAACAAUGGUAGUUCCAGCAACCACAAGACUCACCCCUGGCAAUCAGCCCGAGCGAAGCCAAGCUAUUAGCCUCAGUAGGCCAAGACUCCUGCACCUCGUCCGAGCUACCAGCCUCAGAAGUAUGCCCAGCCCAGGACGGCGUGCAACAACCCCAAUAACAACACUGGUGGGAAUACCAACAACUUUGGGUAGGUCACGUGUUUGGGUGUGGUCAGCCUAGACACAUCUCGAAGAAGUGCCCCAACAAGUAUCCUGAUGCACCACACCCCGCCAAACCAAGGACAAGGCCAUGGAGCGCCUCCCAAGAACCAAAAUCUCCGCAAGCAGCCCAACAAUGGCAAAGGUUGUUUGAAUCACCUCACCGCUGAAGAAGCCGAGGAACACCUGGAUGUCAUAUUGGGUACAUUCCUUGUCAACUCAACCCAAGCAACAGUUCUCUUUGGUUGUGGUGCUUCACAUUUUUUUGUUACCCAAAAGUCUGCACUAGAGAGUGGUAUGAAGCCUACACCUGAGGGUAGACACAUGAUGGCACAGACCUCGGGUGCAGUAUUACAGACCAAGAUAGGGUGUAAAGGAGUUGGGAUUAACAUCAACGGGGUAGACUUCUUAGCAUAUCUCAUCAUCCUAGGUGAAGUCGCAAGGCUUGGAUGUGAUCCUUGGCAUGGAUUGGUUAACCAAGCAUGAAGGAUUGUCGGACCAUGCCAAGAGGACGGUUACCAUGACCAAUAGCCAAGGAGUCGAAGUCAAGUAUGUUCCCAACCCUACCUCUGCUCAAGACCCUCAGGUUAAUUGUGUGUCGGAAAUUGAGUUGGAUCAAGUGCCAUUGGUAUGUGAAUACCCAGUUGUGUUUCCUGACGAGCUUCCCGAAAUGCCUCUUGAUCCUGACAUUGAGUUCGUUAUUAAGAUAGUGCCUGGAGCAUGACCCAUCUAUAAGAAGCCCUAGAGAAUGGGAUCCCAAGAAUUGGCUGAAUUGAAGCAGAAACUAGCACAGGAGCUCAGAAAAGGAUUUAUCACCCUAGUGCCUCUCCUUGGGGAUCACCUGUUUAAUUUGUGUCAAAGAGGGACGGAACUAUCCGACUUUGCGUCGAUUACCAUUUUCAAGUAACAUUAAAGAACAAGUACCCACUCCCCAAGAUUGAAGACCUUUUCGAUCAGCGGAAUGGUGCCAAAGUGUUCUCUAAGAUCGGUCUCAGAUGUGGGUACUACCGAUUGAAGAUCAGACCCAAGGAUAUCCCAAAGACGUAAUUUGUAACCAGGUAUGGCUGUAUGAGUACACGGUCAUGUCAUUUGGAUUAACCAAUGCCCCAGCCUACUUCAUGUACCUCAUGAAAAAGUCUUCAUGGAGUAUCUAGACAAGUUUAUCGUUGUCUUCAUCGACGACAUAGUCGUCUUAUCCAAGUCUGAAGAAGAACAUGAGCAACACUUGAGGAUGGUCCUGGACAAGGUUCGAGAGCACCAGCUUUAUGCCAAAUUCGGCAAGUGUGAAUUCUUGAUGCAUGAAGUUGGAUUCUUGGGUCAUAUGUCAACAGCAGAUGGAUUGUCAGUGGAUCCUGCCAAGAUUAAAGUCAUGAUGGAGUGGCAAUCUCUGACCAAUGUGAAGGAAGUCAAAAGCUUCCUCGGACUCGCGGGAUACUGCCGCAAGUUCAUCGAAGGAUUCUCAAGCAUCGCCCGACGAAUGACUCAUCUCUUGAAGAAGGACAAAAAGUUUGAAUGGACAUCGAAGUGCGAGGAGAAUUUCCAGGAGCUCAAGAAGAGAUUGGCAACGACCCACAUUUUGGCCACUCACGAUAUUCACAAGGAGUUUGUGAUAUAUUGUGAUGCAUCGAGGACCGGGCUUGGUGGUGUUUUGAUACAGGAAGGCAGAGUCAUAGCAUAUCUCACCAGACAGCUACGCCCUCAUGAAGAGAACUAUGCCACUCACGAUCUUGAGUUGGCAGCCGUAGUUCAUGCCUUGAAGACAUGGCUGCAUUACCUGGUUACAAAUUUGAAGCAAUGUGAGAUAUACAUGGACCAUAAGAGUUUGAAGUAUAUUUUCACUCAAAAGGGAUUGAACACGAGGCAGUGAAGAUGGUUGGAGUUAAUCAAGGAUGAUGACCUUAGUGUCCAAUACUACCCUGGGAAGGACAAUGUGGUAGAUCAUGCCUUGAGCAGAAAGACUUGUUCCUUGAAUGCUAUGAUCAAGGAAAGGCUACCUGCCUUGUAUGAGGAAAUUGGAAGCUUCGAGUUGGAGCUAUUCACACCAAGAUUUCUGGCAUACCUCGAAGCAAAGCCUACACUCAUGGAUGAUAUCAAGGAAGCUCAGAAGGGACACAAGAGCAUCGAAGGUAUCAAGAAGAAGACCAAGAAAGACAAGGCCCCACGAUUCUCAAUGGAUGAACAGGGAAUUGUUUGGUUUGGGAACCACAUUUGUGAACACAACAAAGUUGAACACAAGAACCUGAUGUUGCAAGAAGCACUUGACACUCCAUAUUUCAUCCAUUCUUGUGGAACCAAGAUGUACCAAGACGUCAAGGAAAGAUUCUGGUGGCAUGAUAUGAAGAGAGAGAUAGCUUAUUAUGUUGCUAACUGUGACAUAUGCCAGAGUGUCAAAGCUGAGCAUCAGUGACCCGCUGGGCUGCUACAACCUCUCAAAGUGCUUGAAUGGAAGUGCGACAAAGUCGGGAUGAACUUCAUCACUAUCCUGCCCAGAGCAAGCAAAGGACAUGAUUCCAUUUGGGUCAUUGUCGAUCACCUGACGAAGGUGGCCCACUUAAUUCCUGUCAAAACCUCUUAGAAUGGGCACAAGCUAGCCAGUAUCUACAUCGAGCACAUUGUGAGCCUCCACGGAGUUCCUCAGGAGAUCAUGUCAGAUGGAGGUAUGCAGUUUACCUCGAGAUUCUGGAGGCGGUUCCAAGAAGCCAUGGGGACCAAGCUAUCCUUCAGCAUCGCUUUUCACCCCUAGAAAGGCGGACAAAUGGAACGAGUAAAUUAGAUACUCAAUGAUGUCCUGGCAUAUGGAGUCAUAUGGGAAGAUUUCUUACCCUUCCUUGCACUACUAGGAAAAGGCCUGCUAGUGGCGCACCUNNNNNNNNNNNNNNNNNNNNNNNNNNNNNNNNNNNNNNNNNNNNNNNNNNNNNNNNNNNNNNNNNNNNNNNNNNNNNNNNNNNNNNNNNNNNNNNNNNNNNNNNNNNNNNNNNNNNNNNNNNNNNNNAGGUGCGCCACUAGCAUCACGCCAUUAGAAUUGUUUACUAAUGGCGCACCACAGGUGCGCCAUUAGUAUCUGGUAUACUAAUGGCGCACCAGGCAGUGCACCAUUAGUAUAGCUCAUGGUGCGCCAUUAGUAUGCCUCCCAGGUGCGCCAUUAGUAUAGCUCAUGGUGCGCCAUUAGUAUGCCUCCCAGGUGUGCCAUUAGUAUGCCUCCCAGGUGCGCCAUUAGUAUGCCUCCCAGGUGCGCCAUUAGUAUAGCUCAUGGUGUGCCACAUGUUAUACUACCACCUCUAAUAAUAUUCAAUCAUUAUCCUCACACCCAUAAGAAGGUUCAAGAUAAACACAUAUUACACCACAAUGAAAAUAUGUUUAUAAACAUGCACAUACAUUGAACGCAAGUUGACAAACAAAUUAACCUAGAGGAAGCAUAGUUUUGACCAUCUUAACAAUCAUCUAGAACACACAAGUCACAAAAAGAUAAGGACUAUUAGUUACUAUGAGAGACUUCAGAUGGUCCAGAACACACAAGUUUGUAUCUACAUGCACAAAGUGCAAGCUUCAAAACACUCGAAACACCAAAUGGUCUACAAGACAAUAAGGUCCAUGAUUACAGGUUGGUUGGUCCAUAAACGCUAGAGAGUCAUCAUGUCCAUGUGCAUCAAUAGGUUGAGUACCUGAAAACAUUUUGCACAAAUUUGUCAAGAAAGUGGAACCAGAUCAAGUUGUUAAAAUCUCAU